CAACGUCCUGUGCUGAUGUGAUUUCCUCGGCAAGUCAGGAACGGACUCAAAUAUCUUUCUGAUACCUUUUUUUUAAAUGCUUGCCUCAUCAAAUUUCCAAAGAAUUCCAAAGAACUUUCACUCAUUUCAAACACUUUCCAUCCCCUUUGACUCCUCAGCGAACACGGGGUUUUUGGCACCUCUCGGCGCGAGGAGUGAGGCAGAAGCUCGUUCCCCCCUCGCUCCCCGCGCGGCCCGGCGGAGGUCAGCACGCCGCUGUCCCCUGGCUGGGGCAGAAGCCCCCGGCCCGGCAGGCAGCUCGGCGCUCACCCUGUGGAAGUCAGAGGCGCCUGGGGUCGCUCGGCCCGCGCCGUCCUCCCGCGAGGCGCCUCGUACGAGGCUGGAAGCAAAUCCGUCUCCGCUUUAUAUCGGGAGUUAAUUCGACUCCUAGCCUGAAACUGGCUCGAAAUGCGCAUCAGCGCUCAAAUGCGAGCGGCAGCCCUUGGGGAAGGAACGCCACCCGCUCCACACGCACAGCGGGGCGGGCAGGAGCCGUGACAUCCCGGAGCAGCCGGCGCUUCCCUCCGCUGCAUUCCCGAGGCGCUGCGGGAGGUUCGGGCGCUUCUCGCCGCGCCAGGCCCCGUCCCGCCGGUGAGCGCAGGGGCAGAUCGCUCGGCACGGGGCACGGCCGAGGGGCGGAGGUGGCCGAGCGGGGCACCCGCCCGCUGCGCUCUACUUACGCGUUGCGGGAGCGGCGCUAUUGGGAGCGGCAAAAGCUCGGCUCGUUCGGGGCUGACAGCACCACAAGCUGUGCUUCACCGGCUGCAGUUAACGCUCUCACACCAGGCCAGAUCAUUCCAUAGGUCGAAAGGAAGCAGCACUACAUCACAGUGCCUUGCAUUAUUUCAAGAGGCCCCUCACGUUCUACAAAUGUCUUCAGGUUUUCACGGAACCACAGAGUCAUAGGGAUGGAAGGCAAUCUCCGGAGAUCCUCCGGUCCAACCCCCUGCCAGAGCAGGAUCCCUACAGCAGGUCACAAAGGAGAGUGCCCAGAUGGGUCUUGAGUAUCCCCAUAGGAGACUCCACAGCCCCUCAGGGCAGCCUGUUCCAGUGCUCUGUCACUCUCACAGUAAAGAAGUUCUUUCUCCUGUUUGUAUGGAACUGCCCCAGUUUUUGCCCAUUGCUGGGCAAAAUGAGCGCCUGUACCCCUGACUGAGAAUCUAUACCCUUGAUUGAGUCUGUGCUAGGAAUUAAAGGCAUUAUGAGCAAUAUUUUGAGAAGUGUUUUCUCUCAGACAAGAAUAUCUGUCAUGCUGCCGUGCACAUGGCAUUUGAAGAGCUUGAUUUAUUGCAGCAAUGCUCAGAAUAGUCCAGAUAAUUUGCAGGUGCAUAUUUUCAGCAUUGAUACUCAAAAACAUUACCAUCCUCUACAUUUUGGUUCAGCUUUUGCAUGUUCUUGAUUAUUAUCCCAAGAAAAGAAAACAUUAGGCAGAAUGACUUUAUUGGCAUUUAUAUAUGUUUCAGUUGGUAGCUACUCUACAGUCAGAGAGCUGAAAACUCAACUACAGAAGGUCAUAACAAAAAACUUCAGCCCAGAGGAGAGAAGGCUCUGGGGAUACCUGAUAGUGGCCUUCCAGUAUCUAAAAUGGGACUAUAAGAAAGAAGGGGACGGACUCACCUGCUGUCACAGGACAAGGGGAAAUGGUUUCAAACUGAAAGAGGAGAGAUGUAGAGGCAAAAAGGUUUUUUAUGAUAAGGAUAGUGAAGCCUUUUGACAGAUUGCCUGGAGAUGUGGUGGAUGCCCUGUCACUGGAAACAUUCAAGAUCAGGCUAGAUUGGGCUCUGUGCAACCUGUUGGAGCUACAGGUGUCUCUGUUCAGUGCAGAGAAGUUGGACUACGUGGCCUUUAAAGGUCCCUUCCAACUCAAACGAUCCCAUGAUUCUUUGAUUCUGUUCAAGAAAAAGAUUUGAGACACUGAAUAGCCGUGUGUAGCAGAGGACUAGUGGCAAAUGGAAACAGAGGAUCCAGAUCUUUGCAAUACUUGGUUUCUCCCUCUUAAAUCUUUCAUCUGGAAACACUAGAAAGAUCUCUGCUGACCUAAGCAGUAGUAGUGGCACAAGGACAAAUGACUAUCAGCAGAGAUGAGUGAUACACAGCGCUGCCAUGACUGUAAAGGAAGUAGUAUUGCAGUGUUGAUUCUGGAGCAGUGGGGCAUGAGUGCAAAAGAGGAAAUCCCAGCAGUCCAUGUCAAUCACAGCACUCCAUGAAGCCCCUCAGCUGAAAGACUUGAUCCUAGGAAUAGAAAGAGAAAGAUAUCACUUAGAAUCAUCUGUCCAAAAGGUUUAAUUGCAUGAAUCACUGGGUUUCCACAACAAAACCCACAACAAUACUGCUUUUCCAGUACCGUGAAGAUUUUAAGAAGUAUUUCCCACUUGCUGUAUAGACUAGCCUUAAAACUCUUUUGUUAGAAAAAUACUCUUGAUCAGAAGAGCAGUGAUGUUCUAGAGGAGCCUUUCAGUACUGACCCAGAAGGUUUUUAAGAUAGAAUCCAAUAUAUCUUCAAACAGGGAUAAUCUGAUGCAGUGGCUGCCCACAGCAGGACUACAUCCAUCCACUAAUAAAUUCCAUCCACUAAUAAAUUCCA
rnacentral:lncRNA from 1 species